rfam:Capsicum annuum cultivar Zunla-1 chromosome 3, whole genome shotgun sequence
AUCUCAUUAUUUGGUUAUUUGACUAACUUUCUAUUGAAUCUCUCCCAUACUUCAUGGAGCGGCUCCCCACUCCUUUGAAUAAAGUUUAUGAUUUCAUUUCUAAGGU